GGGGGAAUUUUGCACAAUGGGGGAAACCCUGAUGCAGCGACGCCGCGUGAUUUAGAAGGCCUUCGGGUUGUAAAAAUCUUUUCUAUGGGAAGAAAAUGACAGUACCAUAGGAAUAAGGACCGGCUAAUUACGUGCCAGCAGCCGCGGUAAUACGUAAGGUCCGAGCGUUGUCCGGAACCAUUGGGCGUAAAGGGUACGUAGGCGGGUAAGCAAGUUAGAAGUGAAAUCCUGUAGCUCAACUACAGUAAGCUUUUAAAACUGCUCAUCUUGAGAUAUGGAAGGGAAAGUGGAAUUCCUAGUGUAGCGGUGAAAUGCGCAGAUAUUCGGAGGCAUACCGUUGGCGAAGGCGACUUUCUGGCCAUCAUCUGACGCUGAGGUACGAAAGCGUGGGUAGCAAACAGG
rnacentral:rRNA from 1 species